UACGGGGGGGGCAAGCGUUGUUCGGAAUUACUGGGCGUAAAGGGCUCGUAGGCGGCCAACUAAGUCAGGCGUGAAAUCCCCAGGCUCAACCUGGGAACUGCGUCUGAUACUGGAUGGCUUGAAUCCGGGAGAGGGAUGCGGAAUUCCAGGUGUAGCGGUGAAAUGCGUAGAUAUCUGGAGGAACACCGGUGGCGAAGGCGGCAUCCUGGACCGGCAUUGACGCUGAGGCGCGAAAGCUAGGGGAGCAAACGGG
rnacentral:rRNA from 1 species